rnacentral:hammerhead_ribozyme from 1 species
AUCCACCUGACGAGUCCAAAACAGGACGAAAUGCGCAUCAUAGAU